rnacentral:rRNA from 1 species
CCUACGGGUGGCAGCAGUGGGGAAUAUUGCGCAAUGGGCGAAAGCCUGACGCAGCGACGCCGCGUGAGGGAUGAAGGUCUUCGGAUCGUUAACCUCUGUCAGCAGGGAAGAACGGUCACUGUGCUAAUCAGCAGUGAAUUGACGGUACCUGCAAAGGAAGCACCGGCUAACUCCGUGCCAGCAGCUGCGGUAAUACGGAGGGUGCGAGCGUUAAUCGGAAUUACUGGGCGUAAAGCGCUCGUAGGCGGUAUGUCAAGUCAAGGGUGAAAUCCCCGGGCUCAACGUGGGAACUGCCUUUGAAACUGGCAAGCUGGAGUGUGUGGGAGGAUGGUGGAAUUCCAGGUGUAGGGGUGAAAUGCGUAGAUAUCUGGAGGAACAUCGGUGGCGAAGGCGACUAUCUGGCACAUAACUGACGCUGAGGAGCGAAAGCGUGGGUAGCGAACAGGAUUAGAUACCCUGGUAGUC